rnacentral:rRNA from 1 species
CAGGAUGAACGCUAGCGACAGGCUUAACACAUGCAAGUCGAGGGCAGCAUAAAAGUAGCAAUACUUGGUGGCGACCGGCGCGACGGGUGAGUAACGCGUAUGCAACCUACCUAUCAGAGGGGAAUAACCCGGCGAAAGUCGGACUAAUACCGCAUAAAACAGGGACACCGCAUGGUGAUAUUUGUUAAAGAAAUUCGCUGAUAGAUGGGCAUGCGUUCCAUUAGGUAGUUGGUGAGGUAACGGCUCACCAAGCCGACGAUGGAUAGGGGAACUGAGAGGUUGGUCCCCCACACUGGUACUGAGACACGGACCAGACUCCUACGGGAGGCAGCAGUGAGGAGUAUUGGUCAAUGGGCGAGAGCCUGAACCAGCCAAGUCCGCGUGAAGGAAGAAGGAUCUAUGGUUCGUAAACUUCUUUUGCAGGGGAAUAAAGUGCAGGACGUGUCCUGUUUUGUAUGUACCCUGAGAAUAAGGAUCGGCUAACUCCGUGCCAGCCGCCGC